rnacentral:rRNA from 1 species
CAAUAGCGUAUAUUAAAGUUGUUGCAGUUAAAAAGCUCGUAGUUGGAUUUGUGGCUUACGGUGUGUUCCGGGCACUUGUUGUCUGAGUAACCUGCUGUUGCCAUCCUUGGGUGGAACCUGUGUGGCAUUAGGUUGUCGUGCAGGGGAUGCCCAUCAUUUACUGUGAAAAAAUUAGAGUGUUCAAAGCAGGCUUAUGCCGUUGAAUAUAUUAGCAUGGAAUAAUGAGAUAGGACUUUUUUGCUAUUUUGUUGGUUUGCGCAAAGAGGUAAUGAUUAAUAGGGACAGUUGGGGGUAUUCGUAUUCCAUUGUCAGAGGUGAAAUUCUUGGAUUUUUGGAAGACGAACUACUGCGAAAGCAUUUACCAAGGAUGUUUUCAUUAA